rnacentral:rRNA from 1 species
AACGAACGCUGGCGGCAUGCCUAACACAUGCAAGUCGAACGAAGCCUUCGGGCUUAGUGGCGCACGGGUGCGUAACACGUGGGAAUCUGCCCUUUGGUUCGGAAUAACAGUUAGAAAUGACUGCUAAUACCGGAUAAUGACGUAAGUCCAAAGAUUUAUCGCCGAAGGAUGAGCCCGCGUAGGAUUAGGUAGUUGGUGGGGUAAAUGGCCCACCAAGCCGACGAUCCUUAGCUGGUCUGAGAGGAUGAUCAGCCACACUGGGACUGAGACACGGCCCAGACUCCUACGGGAGGCAGCAGUGGGGAAUAUUGGACAAUGGGCGAAAGCCUGAUCCAGCAAUGCCGCGUGAGUGAUGAAGGCCUUAGGGUUGUAAAGCUCUUUUACCAGGGAUGAUAAUGACAGUACCUGGAGAAUAAGCUCCGGCUAACUCCGUGCCAGCAGCCGCGGUAA